rnacentral:rRNA from 1 species
UUAUUUGACGUUACCUACAGAAGAAGCACCGGCUAACUCCGUGCCAGCAGCCGCGGUAAUACGGAGGGUGCGAGCGUUAAUCGGAAUUACUGGGCGUAAAGCGCAUGCAGGCGGCCUUGUUAAGUCAGAUGUGAAAGCCCGGGGCUUAACCUCGGAAUUGCAUUUGAAACUGGCAGGCUAGAGUCUUGUAGAGGGGGGUAGGAAUUUCAGGUGUAGCGGUGAAAUGCGUAGAGAUCUGAAGGAAUACCAGUGGCGAAGGCCGGCCCCCUCGGACAAAGACUGACGCUCAGAUGCGAAAGCGUGGGGAGCAAACAGGAUUAGAUACCCUGGUAG